AUUGAACGCUGGCGGCAGGCUUAACACAUGCAAGUCGAGCGAGCGGCGGACGGGUGAGUAAUGUCUGGGAAACUGCCUGAUGGCGGGGGAUAACUACUGGAAACGGUAGCUAAUACCGCAUACCAUCAGAUGCACCCAUAUGGGAUUAGCUAGUAGGUAGGGUAAUGGCUUACCUAGGCGACGAUCCCUAGCUGGUCUGAGAGGAUGAUCAGCCACACUGGAACUGAGACACGGCCCAGACUCCUACGGGAGGCAGCAGUGGGGAAUAUUGCACAAUGGGCGCAAGCCUGAUGCAGCCAUGCCGCGUGUAUGAAGAAGGCCUUCGGGUUGUAAAGUACUUUCAGCCGGGAGGCGUUACUCGCAGAAGAAGCACCGGCUAACUCCGUGCCAGCCGCCGCGGUAAUUC
rnacentral:rRNA from 1 species